GAUUGAAAUAUUACCCAAAAAGUUUGGUUUGUUUUCCUCUAUACAAGGCCACUGUUUUCUUUUCUUCACUAUCUAAAAAUAACUUGGCAAGUGAUUUCGUAACAGUAAUGUUGGCAAAGGCAGCUUCUCAACAAAUCACAAACCAGUAAGAGAUAAAAAUAACCUAUUACAUUAGAGCUGACCUAAGAAUUAAGUAUCAAAGCUGCAGUUUACCUACUGUCUAAAGGAAAAGCAACUACCUUAUUCAUCAAAGGACGAAGUUUCUAGUGGUUCCUAUUAAUACAACGUCCCCUUUUCCCUCUGCUACUGUUCUUAUUGGACCAAACUGCUCUGGAAUCUGUGGUCGUAACAGACAAACAGGAGUUUAACACCGUAUCUGCAACCUUUGCAGGAAAACGAAGACCGUGCUUUACUUUCUUUGAAAUAAACUCCUUGGAGCAAUGUACAUCUUACUCUGUUCAAAUAAGUUCUUGGCCUACAGCUAAGCUUUUCAACAAUACAGCCUCAUCCUUCCCCAUUUCUUCUGAAGACCAGCUUAAAUUUUACCUUCAGUCUGUCCUUUUUUUCUCAGAUGUAAACUCCUGGGGUUGAUCUCUCCUUCUCCUCACUGUUUCCCACACUAGGAUUUGGUGGAUUCAACUUUCAUUUGGAGAGGGAGCAAGUGGCUAUGUGGUGCUUAGCUGCAGGCUGGAGUCAACACACCACAACCAGGAGCUUGAAGAAGCACAUGUCAGGAACUUGAAGAUCAAGAGGAAACCACUAAGAUAAUCCAAAAGAGCUGCUGGUGGAUCCAGUGCGGUUGCGACUCCCUUUGGAAUCUCCAUAGCUUUCUCUUCGACCCCCUGGGGACACACGCUCAGAUG